rnacentral:snRNA from 1 species
UUGCUUGUUUCCACAGCACAUAUACUAAAAUUGGAAUGAUACAGAGAUUGGCAGGGCCCCUGUGGAAAGAAGACUCACAGAUUUUCCUAACUAUAAAGCAAUGAAUUGAACCAGAUUUUU